GGAACAAUAACAUACACACAUGCUGACACUGCACACACAGGAGCAACAGCAUACACACAUACUGACAUUACAUACACACAGGAACAAACACAUGCACAUAUACUGACAUUGUAAACACACACAAGAACACUAACUUAAACACGUACAGACAAUACUCAUAAGAACAACCACAUACAUACAUACUGACAUUGCACACACACAAUGACAUUGCACACACACAGGAACAACAUACACACAUAUUGACAUUGUACUCAUAGGAACAACCACAUGCACAAUACUGACAUUGCACACACAGGAACAACAACAUACACA